GUCGUUGUAGUAUAGUGGUAA
rnacentral:siRNA from 1 species